rnacentral:tRNA from 1 species
GCUCUCUUCGUCUAGCUGGUUAGGACGCUGGCCUCUCACGCCGGUAACAGGGGUUCGAGUCCCCUAGGGAGUACCA